rnacentral:rRNA from 1 species
CCUCGGCGUCAGGACGAACGCUGGCGGCGUAGCUUAACUAACAUGCAAGUCGAACGGAGCGACCCCUCGUAAGGAGUUUUCGGUACAACGGAAGGGAAGUGCUUAGUGGCGGACGUGGUGAGUAACGCGUGAGGAACCUGCCUUCCUAGAGGGGGACGAACAGUUGGAAACGAACUGCUAAUACCGCAUGAAACAUUUGUAACCGCAUGGUUUGAAUGUCAAAGAUUUAUCGCUGGAAGAUGGCCUCGCGUCUGAUUAGCUAGUAGCGGGGUAACGGCCCACCUAGGCGACGAUCAGUAGCCGGACUGAGAGGUUGACCGGCCACAUUGGGACUGAGAUACGGCCCAGACUCCUACGGGAGGCAGCAGUGGGGAAUAUUGGGCAAUGGGCGCAAGCCUGACCCAGCAACGCCGCGUGAAGGAAGAAGGCUUUCGGGUUGUAAACUUCUUUUAAGAGGGAAGAGACGAAGACGGUACCUCUUGAAUAAGCCACGGCUAACUACGUG